CAUAUCAAUAAGCGGAGGAAAAGAAACUAACAAGGAUUCCCCUAGUAACUGCGAGUGAAGCGGGAAAAGCUCAAAUUUAAAAUCUGGCAGUCUUUGGCUGUCCGAGUUGUAAUCUAGAGAAGUGUUAUCCGCGCUGGACCGUGUACAAGUCUCCUGGAAUGGAGCGUCAUAGAGGGUGAGAAUCCCGUCUUUGACACGGAUUACCAGGGCUUUGUGAUACGCUCUCAAAGAGUCGAGUUGUUUGGGAAUGCAGCUCAAAAUGGGUGGUAAAUUCCAUCUAAAGCUAAAUAUUGGCGAGAGACCGAUAGCGAACAAGUACCGUGAGGGAAAGAUGAAAAGAACUUUGGAAAGAGAGUUAAACAGUACGUGAAAUUGCUGAAAGGGAAACGCUUGAAGUCAGUCGCGUUGUUUGGGAAUCAACCUUGCUUUUGUUGGGUGUACUUUCCAGAUAACGGGCCAGCAUCAAUUUUGACCGUUGGAUAAAGAUUAGAGAAAUGUGGCAUUUUCGGAUGUGUUAUAGUCUCUAGUUGCAUACAACGAUUGGGAUUGAGGAACUCAGCACGCCGCAAGGCCGG
rnacentral:rRNA from 1 species